AUGAACGCUAGCGACAGGCUAACACAUGCAAGUCGAGGGGUAACAGGGUAGCAAUACCGCUGACGACCAGCGCACGGGUGAGUAACGCGUAUGCAACCUGCCUAUAACUGGGGAAUAGCUCCCUGAAAGGGGAAUUAACACCGCAUAACACUAUUGAUUCGCAUGGAUUGGUAGUUAAAUGUAGCGAUACAGGUUAUAGAUGGGCAUGCGUGACAUUAGCUAGUUGGUGAGGUAACGGCUCACCAAGGCUACGAUGUCUAGGGGUUCUGAGAGGAAGGUCCCCCACACUGGUACUGAGACACGGACCAGACUCCUACGGGAGGCAGCAGUGAGGAAUAUUGGUCAAUGGGCGCAAGCCUGAACCAGCCAUGUCGCGUGCAGGAAGACUGCCCUAUGGGUUGUAAACUGCUUUUAUGGUAGAAGAAACACAUCUACGCGUAGAUGUCUGCCAGUAUACUAUGAAUAAGCAUCGGCUAACUCCGUGCCAGCAGCCGC
rnacentral:rRNA from 1 species